rnacentral:lncRNA from 1 species
CAAUAUGGUCUAAGUUUAGAAAUCACAAACAAAGAAGAUUUUGAAAGAGGGGAGAGAUUUGAAAUUAAAGAAGUUAGGAAGAGAUGAAGAGACUAAUCUUAAGCAAAAAUUUAAAAGUUAAGAGUUGAAAAGACCUGACCAAUGGGCUGCAAACCAAUAGACAAGAAUGACAUAUAGAAACCCAAAUUUCCCUUGGACUUUAGAAUCGAGAAAUAUUAAUACACAAAUAGCAAGAUGAA